GCGGUAAUACGAAGGGACCUAGCGUAGUUCGGAAUUACUGGGCUUAAAGAGUUCGUAGGUGGUUGAAAAAGUUGGUGGUGAAAUCCCAGAGCUUAACUCUGGAACUGCCAUCAAAACUUUUCAGCUAGAGUAUGAUAGAGGAAAGCAGAAUUUCUAGUGUAGAGGUGAAAUUCGUAGAUAUUAGAAAGAAUACCAAUUGCGGAGGCAGCUUUCUGGAUCAUUACUGACACUGAGGAACGAAAGCAUGGGUAGCGAAGAGGAUUAGAUACCCUCGUAGUCCAUGCCGUAAACGAUGUGUGU
rnacentral:rRNA from 1 species